rnacentral:rRNA from 1 species
CUAGCGGCGGACGGGACAUAACACGUAGGCAACCUGCCCAUCAGACUGGGAUAACUACCGGAAACGGUAGCUAAUACCGGAUACAUCCUUUCCCUGCAUGGGGAGGGGAGGAAAGACGGAGCAAUCUGUCACUGAUGGAUGGGCCUGCGGCGCAUUAGCUAGUUGGUGGGGUAAUGGCCUACCAAGGCGACGAUGCGUAGCCGACCUGAGAGGGUGAUCGGCCACACUGGGACUGAGACACGGCCCAGACUCCUACGGGAGGCAGCAGUAGGGAAUCUUCCGCAAUGGGCGAAAGCCUGACGGAGCAACGCCGCGUGAGUGAUGAAGGUUUUCGGAUCGUAAAGCUCUGUUGCCAGGGAAGAACGUCUUGUAGAGUAACUGCUACAAGAGUGACGGUACCUGAGAAGAAAGCCCCGGCUAACUACGUGCCAGCAGCCGCGGUAAUACGUAGGGGGCAAGCGUUGUCCGGAAUUAUUGGGCGUAAAGCGCGCGCAGGCGGCUCUUUAAGUCUGGUGUUUAAUCCCGAGGCUCAACUUCGGGUCGCACUGGAAACUGGGGAGCUUGAGUGCAAAGAGGAGAGUGGAAUUCCACGUGUAGCGGUGAAAUGCGUAGAUAUGUGGAGGAACACCAGUGGCGAAGGCGACUCUCUGGGUGUAACUGACGCUGAGGGCGAAAGCGUGGGGAGCAAACAGGAUUAGAUACCUGGUAGUCCACGCCGUAAA